AACAAUCACUGAGGGGAGAAUUGUGCAGGCCACUGUUCAUAGAAUUUAAAUUGCAAUGAUUAGUAUGCUGGUGCAGUUUCACCUCCGGGAGGAGACUUUUCAGAUCCUGUGAGUUCUGCAACCCUUAGUAUUGCGCAGGACCUCAAGUCGCAGCUGCAAGAGUUAAUUCAUUCCGAAACAGCAGUGAAUCUCUUUUUAUUUUCUAGUUCCCUCUUUCCUCGUAGAGAUUUUCCCAGUUUCAGGACCAUCUGAAGAAAGUCAGAACAUGGGAAGGUCCAACUGGUAAACAUCACUUGAUAUGGUAGAAACACUGAUGAUUUUGACCUUUUGGUCUGUUUAUUUGAUUUUACCCUUCCCCUUUGAAAUAGAGGUUAUUGGUGGGAUGAGAGGUAUGACUGGAUUGCUUUGGGAAACCUCAUUGCUUGACGUGGAUAUGUACUGAUAACUCUCUGUUUACUUGGUUAGAUCCUAGAUGAUCUUAAAUAUAUCAAUAGCUCAUCCUUCCCGUUCUAAGGCUGUACGUUUUGAAGUAUGUUUUUGGUGUAGAUAUUUAUAUGUAGUCGCUGGCUUUAUAACAAAGAUCUUUGUGUCUAGGUUCUGGGAAGCCAACAUAUGACGAUUGCCUCAACCUGAUUGCUCGUGUUCCUGUUGUACAAGAAUGGUGAUUCCAAGACAACAAAAAACCUAUGUAAAGCUUGGAAAUGUUAUCAGUACAUACAGCCUUAUUCCUGUUCGUUUCUUUUGCUGAUUCACUAGAGUAUGUUU